rnacentral:rRNA from 1 species
CGCUGAGCGGCGUGCCUAAUACUGCAAGUCGAGCGAACAGAUAAGGAGCUUGCUCCUUUGACGUUAGCGGCGGACGGGUGAGUAACACGUGGGUAACCUACCUAUAAGACUGGGAUAACUUCGGGAAACCGGAGCUAAUACCGGAUAAUAUUUCGAACCGCAUGGUUCGAUAGUGAAAGAUGGUUUUGCUAUCACUUAUAGAUGGACCCGCGCCGUAUUAGCUAGUUGGUAAGGUAACGGCUUACCAAGGCGACGAUACGUAGCCGACCUGAGAGGGUGAUCGGCCACACUGGAACUGAGACACGGUCCAGACUCCUACGGGAGGCAGCAGUAGGGAAUCUUCCGCAAUGGGCGAAAGCCUGACGGAGCAACGCCGCGUGAGUGAUGAAGGUCUUCGGAUCGUAAAACUCUGUUAUUAGGGAAGAACAUACGUGUAAGUAACUGUGCACGUCUUGACGGUACCUAAUCAGAAAGCCACGGCUAACUACGUGCCAGCAGCCGCGGUAAUACGUAGGUGGCAAGCGUUAUCCGGAAUUAUUGGGCGUAAAGCGCGCGUAGGCGGUUUUUUAAGUCUGAUGUGAAAGCCCACGGCUCAACCGUGGAGGGUCAUUGGAAACUGGAAAACUUGAGUGCAGAAGAGGAAAGUGGAAUUCCAUGUGUAGCGGUGAAAUGCGCAGAGAUAUGGAGGAACACCAGUGGCGAAGGCGACUUUCUGGUCUGUAACUGACGCUGAUGUGCGAAAGCGUGGGGAUCAACAGGA